rnacentral:misc_RNA from 1 species
GGAGAUUGUUAAAAUAUCUCGACUGUCAUUUCUAACAGGUGAAAGCUCCGAUGGCGAUGCCCCCAACUGAAAAUUCAGAGCAAUCAGUCGCUUUGUCCAACGAUGCUGAGCACCGCGAGGAUAAUAUGGUUCCCAAUUCCUUAAAUCAUGGAGGUGAAGAAUCCAAGCCUGGGAUUGACAAAGAAGAAGUUAGAGGCAUUCUUGAACUUAUUGCAUCCACUGGGAAAUUUUGGCAUGAUUGGGACAAAUUGAAGAGCAUGAUAUCCUUUCAUCUGAAGCAGGUUCUAUCAGAGUAUCCUGAGGCAAAAAUGACUAGUGAGGAGCAGAAUGCUAUAUUGGGAGAAACUUAUGAAGAACUGAUGAAAAGGUUGGAUGAAGCUCUUCAUAGUUUUGAUGAAGGUCCUCCAUUUACCCUGCAGAGACUCUGUGAGAUCCUAUUGGCUGCAAGAAGUAUCUAUCCAAAUCUGUCAAAGCUUGCCCUUGCACUAGAGAAGAAUCUGUUGGUGACCUCUACAUUAACGGUUUGCAUGGAUCCUUAUCCACAAACAAUGCAAAAGCUAGAUGAACCAGAUAAAGCACAUGAGGAACCACAGCCGCAAUCCAAUUCAAUACAAAAUGGGGUUGAACCUAUGGUAGGAGAUGGGGAUGAAAUAAUGGCUGAGGUGCAGGAGGCCGAUAUUGAUGAUGAUAUGACCAUUGAUAUGGAAGCCUUUGAAGAAAUAGUUGGAUCAUCAGAACCAAAUUCUACACCAACUGGAAAUUCAUAAAUUUAGGUUAUUCUUUUUGGUUACAACACCCUCUACUAAGCUCAUGGAUCCAUUUGCUGAACUGGGGAGAGAGAGACUAUUUGUACCAAGGCAAGCAAUGGGGUUGGCGUCAUUGUGUUUCUAUCCUUCAGGUUAGCAGCAGCAAGGGAAAAUCAUAGAUUUAUGCCACAUGGAAUUAGAACAUUUCAAUCCGUGGAUCUUACUUGAAUGGUAUAUUUAUACAAUUCUCAUGUAAUUGCCUGAUGGCUUCUUAUCUCUAAAACGUAUUUGACAUUGCCAUGAGAAAUUCUUUCGC